UACGUAGGGUGCAAGCGUUAUCCGGAAUUAUUGGGCGUAAAGAGCUCGUAGGCGGUUUUGUCGCGUCUGCUGUGAAAACUGGGGGCUCAACCCCCCAGCCUGCAGUGGGUACGGGGCAGACUAGAGUGCGGGUAGGGGAGAUUGGAAUUCCUGGUGUAGCGGUGGAAUGCGCAGAUAUCAGGAGGAACACCGAUGGCGAAGGCAGAUCUCU
rnacentral:rRNA from 1 species